rnacentral:tRNA from 1 species
GGGCGGUUAGCUCAGUUGGUUAGAGCGCCGUGCUCACACCGCGGAGGUCGCUGGUCCGAGUCCAGUACCGCCCA